CUUUACACAGCUCAAGGUCUGGGUCCUAGGGUCCACCUUCAUGUUCCACCAAUGAGUUUGUUCACAGGGGGUGGAAUGUGUAGGGGAUGUCCUGAUAUGUGUGUAAGGAAUGCAUUGUGUGAAUCUGUGUUUGUAUGUGUAAGGGCUGCAAGGUGUGUUUCUGUGUAUGUACAGGAUGCAGUGUGUGCGUGUGUAAGGGGUGCAUUGAGUGUGUGUAAGGAAUGCAUUGUGUGUUUAUGUGUGUGUAAGGGGUGCAUUGUGUGUAAGGGUUGCAUUGUUUGUGUGUGUGUGUGUGUGUGUCAUUGUGUGUAGUGCAUUGUGUGUUUUUCUGUGUGUAAGGGGUGC